rnacentral:tRNA from 1 species
GGUGAGGUGUCCGAGAGGCUGAAGGAGCACGCCUGGAAAGUGUGUAUACGGCAACGUAUCGAGGGUUCGAACCCCUCUCUCACCA